GACGAACGCUGGCGGCGUGCCUAAUACAUGCAAGUCGAGCGGACCUCUUCGGAGGUCAGCGGCGGACGGGUGAGUAACACGUGGGCAACCUGCCUGUAAGACUGGGAUAACACCGGGAAACCGGUGCUAAUACCGGAUAAUCCUUUUCCUCACAUGAGGGGAAGCUGAAAGACGGUUUCGGCUGUCACUUACAGAUGGGCCCGCGGCGCAUUAGCUAGUUGGUGGGGUAACGGCCCACCAAGGCGACGAUGCGUAGCCGACCUGAGAGGGUGAUCGGCCACACUGGGACUGAGACACGGCCCAGACUCCUACGGGAGGCAGCAGUAGGGAAUCUUCCGCAAUGGACGAAAGUCUGACGGAGCAACGCCGCGUGAGCGAAGAAGGCCUUCGGGUCGUAAAGCUCUGUUGUCAGGGAAGAACACGUACCGGAGUAACUGCCGGCACCUUGACGGUACCUGACCAGAAAGCCACGGCUAACUACGUGCCAGCCGCCGCGGUAAGAC
rnacentral:rRNA from 1 species